GACGAACGCUGGCGGCGUGCUUAACACAUGCAAGUCGAGCGGUAAGGCCCUUUCGGGGGUACACGAGCGGCGAACGGGUGAGUAACACGUGGGUGACCUGCCCUUAGCUCUGGGAUAAGCCUGGGAAACUGGGUCUAAUACCGGAUAUGACUCCAUGACGCAUGUUGUGGGGUGGAAAGCCUUGUGCGGCUAGGGAUGGGCCCGCGGCCUAUCAGCUUGUUGGUGGGGUGANGGCCUACCAAGGCGACGACGGGUAGCCGGCCUGAGAGGGCGACCGGCCACACUGGGACUGAGACACGGCCCAGACUCCUACGGGAGGCAGCAGUGGGGAAUCUUGCGCAAUGGGCGAAAGCCUGACGCAGCGACGCCGCGUGAGGGAUGACGGCCUGGUGUAAC
rnacentral:rRNA from 1 species